rnacentral:rRNA from 1 species
AGGACGAACGCUGGCGGCGUGCUUAACACAUGCAAGUCGAGCGGAAAGGCCCUUCGGGGUACUCGAGCGGCGAACGGGUGAGUAACACGUGGGCAACCUGCCCUUAGCUUCGGGAUAGCUCCGGGAAACCGGAAUUAAUACCGAAUAUGAUUUUUGCUGACAUCAGCAGAAGUGGAAAGUUUUUCGGCUAGGGAUGGACUCGCGGCCUAUCAGCUAGUUGGUGAGGUAACGGCCCACCAAGGCGACGACGGGUA